GGUCCGUUGGUGUAAUGGUUAACACUUCUUAACACUAUGGUUACGCAUGCAGAAAGAGUGGAAGAAGCUACCGGUUCAAAUCCGGUACGGUGCCA